rnacentral:tRNA from 2 species
GGAGAGGUGGGUGAGUGGUUAAAACCACACGCUUGGAAGGCGUGCAUACGCUAACGCGUAUCGCGGGUUCGAAUCCCGCCCUCUCCG